UCCCUCCACCCCCAAUCCCCCACACAUGCGGCCUGACCUCCUGGUUGUGGGCGAGUUCGGCAGCGCCGCCAUGGAGGUCGCGAGGUCGAGGGCGCCGCGUCCUGCCCCCAUUGAAGUUUCGGGCCAUCCAUCAACAAUUAGAUGUUGCCGGCAUGCGCCCCGACUCCAGGUCGCACCAGCCAGAGGUGUAUUGUGUUUGCUGCUCGGUCCAGAACGCUCUGCGGUCUCAUAUUCAGAACAUAACCUGAUCAACAUACAUCUGUACUCCAAAGGAAUGACCUCCAAGUACGAAUACUACAAGAUAGGCGAGAAGGGUUUCAACCUCAGGUUUCAGAUUUGUUUGUGGCCUUUAACAUUAUUCAGAAGGUAGUUAUUGUAGUCUUAGUGUGGUGGUUGUACGUAGCCAUGCCUACUUGUAGUCCAUUUCCAUGUCAGUUGUUAUACCUUGCUGGUGGGGCCGAAGCGCAAACAAAAAAGAGAGGAGAUGUGAGAUACUUUGGACUUUUCAUGCCAAGAACCAAAGAAAUUUUCUAAUUCAAGGGACUAUAGUUCAAUACCGGAAGGGCCUGAAGUAGUUGCAAUUGAGUCACUUGACAUACAUGUGUACAAGUUUGAUCCCAGACGGUGGGGAGAUUUGGCGUGCUCAGUGGUGUGCCAUUGGAAAAGCUUCCUGGAGGUUUUAAUGCUAUGUGCAGACUUGGUCUUUUGACUUUCUAAAUUUGGACAAGGUUUUGUAGGUGAGUGAUUUUUGUGCCCUAUGGCUGGAA